AUGGCUAGGCAUUAUGCUUUCCUGAUGGCCCUCAUAGUGAUGAGCUACUAGUCAACCUGCUCUCUAGGGAGUGAUCUGCCUCAGACACAAAACCUAAGGAACAAGAAAGCCUUGACACUCCUAGAACAAAUGAGAAGACUCUUCCUGUCUUCUGUCUAAAGUACAGAAAGAACUUUAGAUUCCCCCUGGAGAAGGUGGAUGCCCAGCAGAUCCAGAAGGCUCAAGCCAUCCCUGUUCUCCUUGAGCUGACCCAGCAGGUCCUGAACAUCUUCACAUCAAAGGACUCAUCUGCUGCUUGGGAUGCAACCAUUCUAGACUCAUUCUGCAAUGACCUCCAUCAGCAGCUCGAUGACCUCAAAGCCUGUCUGAUGCAGCAGGUGGGGGUGCAGAAACCUCCCCUGACCCAGGAAAACUUUCUCUAGCUGUGAGGAAAUACUUCCACAGGAUCACUGUGUACCUGAGAGAGAAGAAACACAGCCCCUGUGCCUGGGAGGUGGUCAGAGCAGAAGUCUGGAGAGCCCUGUCUUCCUCAGCCAAGUUGCUGGCAAGACUGAAUGAGAUGAAUGA
rnacentral:lncRNA from 1 species